rnacentral:rRNA from 1 species
GGAUUAGAUACCCUGGUAGUCCACGCUGUAAACGAUGAUCACUAGAUGUAUGGCCCCUUCGGGGGUUGUGUGUCGAAGCUAACGCGUUAAGUGAUCCGCCUGGGGAGUACGGUCGCAAGAUUAAAACUUAAAGGAAUUGACGGGGGCCCGCACAAGCGGUGGAACAUGUGGUUUAAUUCGACACUCCGCGAGGAACCUUACCUAGGCUUGACAUGCUGAAGCCAUUUCCUGAAAAGGAAAGUUUCGAGCUUGCUCGGACUUCUGCACAGGUGCUGCAUGGCUGUCGUCAGCUCGUGCCG